GCGCGAAACCUUUACAAUGCGGGAAACCGUGAUAAGGGAACCCUGAGUGCUUAUCUUACGAUAGGCUUUUGCCAAGAGUAAAAAUCUUGGCGAAUAAGUGGUGGGUAAGACUGGUGCCAGCCGCCGCGGUAACACCAGCGCCACGAGUGGGAAUCGUGUUUAUUUGGCCUAAAGCGUCCGUAGCCGGCAGAGUAAAUCUUUUGUGAAAUCAUCGGGCCUAACCUGAUGGCGUGCAGAGGACACUGCUGUGCUUGGAACCGGGAGGAGUCAGAAGUAUGGGAUGGGGAGCGGUAAAAUGCGAUAAUCCAUCUUAGACUACCUGUGGCGAAGGCGUCUGACUAGAACGGAUUCGACGGUGAGGGACGAAAGCCAGGGGAGCGAUCCGGAUUAGAUACCCGAGUAGUCCUGGCCGUAAACGCUGUGAGCUAGGUGUUGCAUAUUCUACGUGAAUAUGCAGUGUCGAAGUGAAGACGAUAAGCUCACCGCCUGGGAAGUACGGUCGCAAGACUGAAACUUAAAGGAAUUGG
rnacentral:rRNA from 1 species